GCAGCGGUCAGGCUUUGUCGCUGGCAUCCAUUAGGGUGCGAGAGGAAAGUCCGGGCAGCAUAGGGGCUCCACUUCCGAAACUAGAAGCUAUUGGUGACAGUAGGCUAAGGUAGAAGAAAAUAACCGCCUAUCUUUCAUGGUAGGUAAGGGUGAGAAGGUGGUGUAAGAGACCACCAGCCAAUGGGUGAUCAUUUGGGCUGUAUCUGCUGGAGGCUGCAAGUUCAUGUAUACCAUCGUUGGAGGGUUCCCGCCCGAUACACCCUUUGAGGAGUAACGAUGGAGGGUAGAACGCUUGAGUUGCAGGGCGACUUGCAAACUAGAUAGAUGACAGAGCACCUGCGUUCUUGCAACGUAGGAAACAGAACCCGGCUUACGUGACCGCUGCCUUG
rnacentral:RNase_P_RNA from 2 species